rnacentral:rRNA from 1 species
AUUGAACGCUGGCGGCAGGCCUAACACAUGCAAGUCGAGCGGAGCGGCGGACGGGUGAGUAAUGCCUAGUAAUCUGCCUGGUAGUGGGGGAUAACGUCCGGAAACGGGCGCUAAUACCGCAUACUAUCAGAUGAGCCUAGGUCGGAUUAGCUAGUUGGUGGGGUAAAGGCCUAACAAGUCGACGAUCCUUAACUGGUUUGAGAGGAUGAUCAGUCACACUGGAACUGAGACAGGUUCCAGACUCCUACGGGAGGCAGCAGUGGGGAAUAGUGGAGAAUGGGCGAAAGCCUGAUUCAGCCAUGCCGCGUGUGUGAAGAAGGUAUUCGUAUUUUAAAGCACUUUAAGUUGUUAUGCGUUACCAACAUAAUAAGCACCGGCUAACUUCGUGCCAGCAGCCGCGGUAAUUC